rnacentral:rRNA from 1 species
CCUACGGGUGGCAGCAGUGGGGGAUAUUGCACAAUGGGGGAAACCCUGAUGCAGCGACGCCGCGUGGGUGAAGGAGUGCUUCGGCAUGUAAAGCUCUAUCGGCAGGGAAGAAGCAAGACGGUACUUGACUAAGAACCCCCGGCAAACUACGUCCCAGCAGCCGCGGUAAUACGUAGGGGGCGAGCGUUAUCCGGUUUCACUGGGUGUAAAGGGAGCGAAGACGGCCAUGCAAGCUAGGGGUGAAAGCCCGGGGCCCAACCCCGGGACUGCCCUUGAAACUGCGUGGCUGGAGUGCGGGAGGGGCAGGCGGAAUUCCUGGUGUAGCGGUGAAAUGCGUAGAUAUCAGGAGGAACACCGGCGGCGAAGGCGGCCUGCUGGACUGCGACUGACGUUGAGGCUCGAAAGCGUGGGGAGCGAACAGGAUUAGAUACCCGAGUAGUC